rnacentral:lncRNA from 1 species
AAGCUUUAACUGCACCUAUUAGAUGAACAGAUUCCUCUGCUCUUUCUGGUUCAUCUUAAUAUACAGACCUGCCUCAAUACAAUUUUGCUUGUUGGGGGAUGUCCUUUUCUAUGGAAGCACAUCAGAUUGUGAGGUGAGACAUCUUCAAUUCUGCAGCCUCAUCUAAUUCUUAUACGAUCAUCAGAUUUAGAUGGCAAAUUUGACCGAGUACCCAAUGUAUUGAUUGUCAAUUUAGGAAUGAUUAUAAUAUGGCAUAUAGGAGUUGGCUGUAUAAUAUGCACAAUGCAUUUUAUUUGAUACGCUUUUGUGAUGGUAACCAGCUCCUUAAAUCCAAAUUUGGUGGUGUUUAAAGCCCUAAUCACAAAAACAAGACAUGGUUGAGGGUUACGCACACCACUACAUUUUUUAUUCCUUGCUUCUGAAUUUUUCAUUUGUGAGAGUGUUUGUUGGAUACGGAUACAUGAACGAUGUAUACAUUGGAAUAUUUUCCGGAUAGUUCUGGCAAUAGAAUCUUUUAGGACAGUGUCCGGGUUACUUCGCUUAUGACAAAUAGCUAAAAAUUGCAGGAAAGUAUAUUUAUUUGUUAACAAACCCGGUGCCUGGUUUAGUGGUGGCUUUAUUCCCUUACUAAAGUCUGUGCCAAGAGAGGAAUAGUAUCCUGUCUUUCAGGUUUUGCUGUAAAAGGUUGUUUUAACAGUUUCCUAUUCUACUGUGGGGACAUUGAUGGAGAAGUUAAGUUCAUCUCAGUAAACGGGUGAAAAAUUAAUGGAUUUUCUCACACUAGAAGGAAAUAUAAAAAAAGAAAAAAGAAAAGAAAACGUGCAUUGCAAACGACGGUAUGUAGUAAACUUCUGUCUGAUCGACCUAUUGUCUCAGUUACAAAACCAACAUUUAUAUACUCUUCAUAUCUCAUCUACCAAAGGUGUUGUUCUAAUGUUUGUAUUCGUAUUGUAUGGUUGUUUUCCAUGAAUAGUUAUUGUCUGAGACACAGUAGAACUGCAGUCAUGAGACAAUAAAGAACCAUGCUUGGUUAGGUUAUUGGAGGAAAUGCGUUUUGAGGGAAAGCUUUUAUAAUCAUGGAGGCCUAACAAAUUUUGAUAACAUUAGAUAUUUGCCAGAUUAAGAAUUGUCUCUGUGAUGAGAACUGACAUGAGGUUCCAAGCAGAAAAUGUGUAAAUCAUAUGUAAGAACAUCAGAUGCUUAACAUGAUUAUGUGCAGAUUAUUGUGGGAAUUGCAGUCUCUAUGUUCUAUAUCCGCAAUCACAGAUGAAAAGAGUAUUUGAUCCUCAUCAUCUGCAGAGCACUGUUGUAUAUAGAUUGUAGGGUAGUUGCCAACUUGCAAAGUGAAAAAUUUUCAUGGAAAGUCACAUCCAGGCUUUGCUUGAAACUUUGUUGGAAAAGUACCAUUUUACUGUGGUUGCUGAGUGGUAAACUUUGGCACAACAGUUUACUUGUGAGUUGCUUUCUUUCUUCAUGACCUUAAAAGAUG